CAAACUGCCGUUUCUUAGCCCUCAAACCCGGAAGAGUGAAAAAGAUCUUACCACCAAGUUCAUUAGCUCUCAUGUGAUUUCACUGUGCUAUCCGUUCCAUUAGCAGUCACGUGGUAAUUCGGGCUAUGCUUCAUUAUACGGAUAGCUACGGCUCACCAAGUGUGGGAGAUGUUACAUACAGUAGGCUAUCUGCCGCAGGCCAGGUUCCUGUUCCAUGUCUGUUGGUGUGCUGACGAAGCUGACAUCGAGCUCAUCCUGCUCUAAACCAGGAGAUCUGUUUAAUCCUGACAACUUCCUCCAAUGCGGAUCUUGAGAAAAGGCUGAUGAGAAUAAUCUACAUGCCAGAGACAGAAUGAGAAGGAAAAGACGGCGCGGCAAAAAAACUUUGAGAUGGGGGGUGAUGAUGCAAGUCAGUGGCAAGACGCCUGAAACCCCAAGCAAAUGAUCCAGCAACUGGAAUG